UCGAGUGUAGCUCAGUGGAAGAUCAUGUACUUAGUAUGCAAGAGGCCUUGGGUUUGAUCCCCAGCACUUAAA
rnacentral:tRNA from 1 species